rnacentral:lncRNA from 13 species
AUGUUUUCUCUUCCAUUUUUGGAUCUUGGCCCUCGAAGCUCCCGUUCGCCUGAGCCCUGGCACCAUCUGCCCAAGCAGGGGGGGGGGGNAAAGAGAGAGGGGGAGUGGACGCUGCCCAGAGAUCGAAGCAGGAUUGGCGGUCGUGGGCUGAAACUAUACUUAUCACGGAGCUACCUGUAUAUGACCACUGCAUUGAAGCCACCAUCUGUCAUAGUGAAGGCAUAACAGUCACACAAAGGUUAAAUGUGUCAUGGUAUCAGGCCCAGAGCAAUCUCUUUCGGUAUAUUUGUAAUCCAUGUUUGAUGUCAGAGUUGAGUAUUUCAAUGUUCAUCAUCUGGUGACUAAAUUCCACUGUCUGCUGGGAGAAGUCGAUACUGGGGUCAUAUAGAGUGGGGCAAAAAAGUAUUUAGUCAGCCACCAAUUGUGCAAGUUCUCCCACUUAAAAAGAUGAGAGAGGCCUGUAAUUUUCAUCAUAGGUACACUUCAACUAUGACAGACAAAAUGAGAAAAAUAAUUCCAGAAAAUCACGUUGUAGGAUUUAUUUAUUUAUUUAUUUGCAAAUUAUGGUGGAAAAUAAGUAUUUGGUCAAUAACAAAAGUUUAUCUCAAUACUUUGUUGUAUACCCAUUGUUGGCAAUGACAGAAGUGAAAAGUUUUCUAUAAGUCUUCACAAGGUUUUCACACACUGUUGCUGGUAUUUUGGCCCAUUCCUCGGUGCAGAUCUCCUCUAGAGCAGUGAUGUUUUGGGGCUGUUGCUGGGCAACACGGACUUUCAACUCCCUCCAAAGAUUUUGUAUGGGGUUGAGAUCUGGAGACUGGCUAGGCCACUCCAGGACCUUGAAAUGCCUCUUACGAAGCCACUCCUUCGUUGCCCGGGCAGUGUGUUUGGGAUCAUUGUCAUGCUGAAAGACCCAGCCACGUUUCAUCUUCAAUGCCCUUGCUGAUGGAAGGAGGUUUUCACUCCAAAUCUCACGAUACAUGACCCCAUUCAUUAUUUCCUUUCAGUCGUCCUCGUCCCUUUG